GCUUUAAUAGCUUAUAAAAUAGAGCACAGCACUGAAGAUGCUGAGGAAGCGGUUACGUUUUAAGGCA
rnacentral:tRNA from 1 species